GCCGGGCAUGGUGAUGCAUGCCUGUAAUCCCAGCUACUGGAGAGGCUGAGGCAGGAGAAUUGCUUGAACCCAGGAGGUGGAGGUUGCAGUGAGCUGAGAUUGCACCACUGCACUUUAGCCUGGGUGACAGAGCAAGACUCGGUCUCAU
rnacentral:sRNA from 1 species